rnacentral:rRNA from 1 species
GACGAACGCUGGCGGCGUGCUUAACACAUGCAAGUCGAACGAUGAACCCGGAGCUUGCUCCGGUGGAUUAGUGGCGAACGGGUGAGUAACACGUGAGUAACCUGCCCUUGACUCUGGGAUAACUGCGGGAAACUGUAGCUAAUACCGGAUACGACCCUCGGCGGCAUCGCCAGGGGGUGGAAAGAAUUUCGGUCAAGGAUGGACUCGCGGCCUAUCAGCUAGUUGGCGAGGUAACGGCUCACCAAGGCGACGACGGGUAGCCGGCCUGAGGGGGGGACCGGCCACCCUGGGACUGGGUCACGGCGCGGAAUCCGACAGGAGGCAGCAGCGGAGAAUAUUGCACACUGGGAGCAGGCCUGAUGCAGCAACGCCGCGUGAGGGAUGACGGCCUUCGGGUUGUAAACCGCUUUUAGUAGGGAAGAAGCGAAAGUGAGGGUACCUGCAGACAAAGGACCGGCUAACUACGUGCCAGCCGCCGCCGUAA